UAUGGUGGACUGCCCUGAGUACGUCUGAUCUUUUCUGAUUUUGAAAGCUAAUCAGGGUCAGACCUGGUUAGUAUUUGAAUGGGAGACCAUCAGGCAAAACUGAUUUCCAGGU
rnacentral:rRNA from 1 species